GGAUAUGAGGGCUAUCUGGGUGCGACAUCUGCCACCCCAUUGAUCGCCAGGGUUGAUUCAGCUGAUCUGGCUGGCUAGGUGGGUAUCUCCUUCCUCCCUCACCGCUCCAUGUGAGUCCCUCCUGAAGCUGCACACUCGCACUCUGUUGAAGAGGAAGGCCUUCCCAAACAGAGACAGGUCUUCUUUGGUCUAGGGUAUAGGAGUAGCUGCUAAAACCUCCAAACAAGCUCUCAAGAAAGUGAAGGUAGGGCCUUACUAGUAAAUAGAAAUGGACAUCAGCUUUCACCUGAGGUUAGUUAUUUUUGU
ensembl:misc_RNA 7SK 7SK RNA